CCCACUCCCAUCCCAAGGCGGCUGAGCCCUGGUCUGGUCAUCUGUUGUUCGUCAUCGUCGUGGAUUAGUCGCCGGUCUGGAUGCAAGAAUACUUCAUGCCCGGAGCGCCAAAACAGAAGAUUGUCCUAAAAAUUAACAAUGCUACUGUAUUUAGCGCUAUAAAGCCGACCAGUUACUCAUAGGCGCAUAGCUCCCACUCUAGCUCUCACGCACGCACGCACCCUCCACACUCGUCCACUCGCCUACGCUUCUCUGGGCCGGCCGGCCGGGGCUUGCUUGCACGCGCACGACGCCAUGGAUGGGCAGGAUGGCGGCCAGGGCCAGAGGCCGAAGCCCGACGGGAACCGGAACCCCAAGAGAGGCAGCAUCAUCAAGACCAUCAUCGCCGACUGGACCGGCGGCGGCGGGACGCCAACUACUUCCGCUGGCGGUGGCGGCGGGGGAGGAGGAGGAAACGAGGACACCGGCAACGGCGGCGGCUCAUAGCGAGCGAGCAUGGCUGCGCGCGUGCGUACGACGAGAUGGUUAGUUUGAGCCUAUGAAGCUAUACUACUGCUAAAUAACGCCUCUCGUUGUACGUGUGCCGGUGGUAAAAAGAACAUGCAUGUGUUUGUGUGAUUGUGUCUGAUUGUGUAGCUUAAUUGUCUUCUGGAUCUGUGGAUGGAUGGAUAUCAGCCCUCUUUGUUGAACCUAAACCUAAUAAUAUACUCCUUCCGUUCCGAAUUACUUGUCUUAGAUUUGUCUAGAUACGGAGGUAUCUAGCACUAAAAUGAGUCUAGAUACCUCUGUAUCUAGACAAUUUUAAGACAAUUAAUUUGGAACGAAGGGAGUAGUAGUAAUGAUGUUAUUUCUCCGUCUGUUGCUGUUCUUUUUGAUUGAUGUGCUGCUGGCCUGCCCUUUGCCG
rnacentral:rRNA from 1 species